rnacentral:rRNA from 1 species
CCGGCUCAGGACGAACGCUGGCGGCGCGCCUAACACAUGCAAGUCGAACGAGAGAUGAGGAGCUUGCUCUUCAAAUCGAGUGGCGAACGGGUGAGUAACGCGUGAGGAACCUGCCUCAAAGAGGGGGACAACAGUUGGAAACGACUGCUAAUACCGCAUAAGCCCACGGCUCGGCAUCGAGCAGAGGGAAAAGGAGCAAUCCGCUUUGAGAUGGCCUCGCGUCCGAUUAGCUAGUUGGUGAGGUAACGGCCCACCAAGGCGACGAUCGGUAGCCGGACUGAGAGGUUGAACGGCCACAUUGGGACUGAGACACGGCCCAGACUCCUACGGGAGGCAGCAGUGGGGAAUAUUGCACAAUGGGGGAAACCCUGAUGCAGCGACGCCGCGUGGAGGAAGAAGGUCUUCGGAUUGUAAACUCCUGUUGUUGAGGAAGAUAAUGACGGUACUCAACAAGGAAGUGACGGCUAACUACGUGCCAGCAGCCGCGGUAAAACGUAGGUCACAAGCGUUGUCCGGAAUUACUGGGUGUAAAGGGAGCGCAGGCGGGAGAACAAGUUGGAAGUGAAAUCCAUGGGCUCAACCCAUGAACUGCUUUCAAAACUGUUUUUCUUGAGUAGUGCAGAGGUAGGCGGAAUUCCCGGUGUAGCGGUGGAAUGCGUAGAUAUCGGGAGGAACACCAGUGGCGAAGGCGGCCUACUGGGCACCAACUGACGCUGAGGCUCGAAAGUGUGGGUAGCAAACAGGAUUAGAUACCCUGGUAGUCCACACCGUAAACGAUGAUUACUAGGUGUUGGAGGAUUGACCCCUUCAGUGCCGCAGUUAACACAAUAAGUAAUCCACCUGGGGAGUACGACCGCAAGGUUGAAACUCAAAGGAAUUGACGGGGGCCCGCACAAGCAGUGGAGUAUGUGGUUUAAUUCGACGCAACGCGAAGAACCUUACCAAGUCUUGACAUCCUGCGACGCACAUAGAAAUAUGUGUUUCCUUCGGGACGCAGAGACAGGUGGUGCAUGGUUGUCGUCAGCUCGUGUCGUGAGAUGUUGGGUUAAGUCCCGCAACGAGCGCAACCCUUAUGGUCAGUUACUACGCAAGAGGACUCUGGCCAGACUGCCGUUGACAAAACGGAGGAAGGUGGGGAUGACGUCAAAUCAUCAUGCCCUUUAUGACUUGGGCUACACACGUACUACAAUGGCGUUAAACAAAGAGAAGCAAGACCGCGAGGUGGAGCAAAACUCAGAAACAACGUCCCAGUUCGGACUGCAGGCUGCAACUCGCCUGCACGAAGUCGGAAUUGCUAGUAAUCGUGGAUCAGCAUGCCACGGUGAAUACGUUCCCGGGCCUUGUACACACCGCC